AGGACGAACGCUGGCGGCGUGCUUAACACAUGCAAGUCGAGCGGAAAGGCCCUUCGGGGUACUCGAGCGGCGAACGGGUGAGUAACACGUGAGCAAUCUGCCCUUAGCUUCGGGAUAGCCCCGGGAAACCGGGAUUAAUACCGAAUAUGACCUCGGCCGACAUCGGCCUUGGUGGAAAGUUUUUCGGCUAGGGAUGAACUCGCGGCCUAUCAGCUUGUUGGUGGGGUAAUGGCCUACCAAGGCGACGACGGGUAGCCGGCCUGAGAGGGCGACCGGCCACACUGGGACUGAGACACGGCCCAGACUCCUACGGGAGGCAGCAGUGGGGAAUAUUGCGCAAUGGGCGAAAGCCUGACGCAGCGACGCCGCGUGGGGGAUGAAGGCUCUAGGGUUGUAAACCUCUUUCAAGUGGGGACGAUAAUGACGGUACCCGCACGAAGAAGCUCCGGCCAACUACGCGCCAGCAGCCGC
rnacentral:rRNA from 1 species